GGCAGCAUGGCUGAGUGGUCUAAGACGCUGGAUUAAGGUUCCAGUCUCUUCGGGGGCAUGGGUUCAAAUCCUACUGCUGCCA